GUAGGGGGCGAGCGUUGUCCGGAUUUAUUGGGCGUAAAGAGCUCGUAGGCGGCUCAGUAAGUCGGGUGUGAAAACUCAGGGCUCAACCCUGAGACGCCACCUGAUACUGCUGUGGCUAGAGUCCGGUAGGGGAGCGUGGAAUUCCUGGUGUAGCGGUGAAAUGCGCAGAUAUCAGGAGGAACACCAGCGGCGAAGGCGGCGCUCUGGGCCGGAACUGACGCUGAGGAGCGAAAGCGUGGGGAGCAAA
rnacentral:rRNA from 1 species